rnacentral:rRNA from 1 species
AACGAACGCUGGCGGCAUGCCUAACACAUGCAAGUCGAACGAGACCUUCGGGUCUAGUGGCGCACGGGUGCGUAACGCGUGGGAACCUGCCCUUAGGUUCGGUAUAACUCCCUGAAAGGUGUGCUAAUACCGGAUAAUGUCUUCGGACCAAAGAUUUAUCGCCUUUGGAUGGGCCCGCGUUGGAUUAGCCAGUUGGUAGGGUAAAAGCCUACCAAGGCGACGAUCCAUAGCUGGUCGGAGAGGAUGAUCAGCCACACUGGGACUGAGACACGGCCCAGACUCCUACGGGAGGGAGCAGUGGGGAAUAUUGGACGAGGGGCGAAAGCCUGAUCCAGCAAUGCCGCGUGAGUGAUGAAGGCCUUAGGGUUGUAAAGCUCUUUUACCCGGGAUGAUAAUGACGGUACCGGGAGAAUAAGCUCCGGCUAACUCCGUG